rnacentral:rRNA from 1 species
CACGUAGGGCGCGAGCGUUGUCCGGAAUUAUUGGGCGUAAAGAGCUCGUAGGCGGCCUGUUGCGUCCGCUGUGAAAGCCCGGGGCUUAACCCCGGGUCUGCAGUGGAUACGGGCAGGCUAGAGGUAGGUAGGGGAGAAUGGAAUUCCCGGUGUAGCGGUGAAAUGCGCAGAUAUCGGGAGGAACACCGGUGGCGAAGGCGGUUCUCUGGGCAGUAACUGACGCUGAGGAGCGAAAGCGUGGGGAGCGAACAGG